GACGAACGCUGGCGGCGUGCUUAACACAUGCAAGUCGAACGAAGUGGCGAACGGGUGAGUAAUACGUGGGUAACCUGCCCUCCUUUUUGGGAUAAGCCUUGGAAACGGGGUCUAAUACCGAAUAAAGGGGGAUGGGCUCGCGGCCUAUCAGCUUGUUGGUGGGGUGAUGGCCUACCAAGGCGGUGACGGGUAGCCGGCCUGAGAGGGUGACCGUCCACAUUGGGACUAGGAUACGGCCCAGACACGUAAGGAAGGAAGCAGUGGGUGAUAUUGCACAAUGGGCGAAAGCCAGAUGCAGCGGCGCCGCGUGGGGGAUGAGGGCUUUGGGGUUGUAAACCUGUAUAGGUAGCGAAAGAGUAGGUGGAGAAGAAACGCCGGCUAACUACGUGCCAGCAGCCGCGGUAAUUC
rnacentral:rRNA from 1 species